AUCCCUCUGUAGUUCACAAGUGUGAUGACUGAGUUCUCAAACCUUGUUACUGCGUUGGCACAUUGGCUGCCUGGUG
rnacentral:snoRNA from 1 species